GAGUUUGAUCGUGGCUCAGAUUGAACGCUGGCGGCAUGCCUUACACAUGCAAGUCGAACGGCAGCAUGAUCUAGCUUGCUAGAUUGAUGGCGAGUGGCGAACGGGUGAGUAAUACAUCGGAACGUGCCCUGUAGUGGGGGAUAACUAGUCGAAAGAUUAGCUAAUACCGCAUACGACCUGAGGGUGAAAGUGGGGGACCACAAGGCCUCAUGCUAUAGGAGCGGCCGAUGUCUGAUUAGCUAGUUGGUGGGGUAAAGGCCCACCAAGGCGACGAUCAGUAGCUGGUCUGAGAGGACGAUCAGCCACACUGGGACUGAGACACGGCCCAGACUCCUACGGGAGGCAGCAGUGGGGAAUUUUGGACAAUGGGCGAAAGCCUGAUCCAGCAAUGCCGCGUGUGUGAAGAAGGCCUCGGUUGG
rnacentral:rRNA from 1 species